AUGCCGAGCCGUUUUAGGUGAAGUGAGUGAUCCCAUGCUGUCGAGAAAAGCCUCUAGCGAGUGUAGGG
rnacentral:rRNA from 1 species